UCCUACUGCAUAAGGUAAAUUGAAACAUCUUUUUUGGGCGAUUCCCAAUGCAUUCAGGAUUACAAACUGUUUGGCGAUGCCGUCACUUUUGAUACAACGUAUAACACGAACAAGUAAAAGUUGAUAUAUGAGAUGUUCUGUGGAGUCAAUCAUCAUCUCAACUCUAUUCUAUUUGACGCUGGAUUCUUAUCGAAUGAGGUGAAAGAAUCGUUUGUUUGGCUAUCCCAACAAUUCUUAGAUUGCAUGUAUGUUGCUCCAGUUACUAUUAUUACUGAUUAGGACCGAACAAUGGAAGUAGCACUACCUAUUAUCUUUCCGAAUACAUUCCAACGUUCCUGUAAAUGGCAGAUCAUGCAUAAAUUUCCCGAUAAAAUUGGCAAUGUCUAUAGAGAUAAAAAUACAAUGAUAGAUUUUUAUGAUUUUCUUAAUAAUUCAGAGUCGACCGACGAAUUUGAUUCAAAGUGGAACACCUGGACCUCACGACAUAACUUGUCUACUCACAAAUGGUUAGAAGAAAUCUUUUAGAUAAGACAUAAGUGGUGCCCUGCAUAUAUGACGAAUUAUUUUUUUACUGGUAUGUCAAGCACACAGAGGAGUGAGUUUAUGAAUCAUCACGUGAAGAUGAGAGUUAAACCAUGUUUUACCUUAUACGAAUUCAUUGGUUCGUUGGAGAUUGUAUUAAUAUCGAUGAGGGACAAAGAACUACAAAGAGAUCAUGAGGACAUUUUUGGGCCGCCACAUCUCAUCACAAAUCUUCCAAUUGAAAGAUCCAUUCUACACAAAUACACAUCCGAAGCUUUUCGCUUAUAUCAAGAACAAGUCAAGUUGAGCUUGGGAUUUUUCAUAAGACC
rnacentral:lncRNA from 1 species